CCCUUAGAUGUUCUGGGCCGCACGCGCGCUACACUGACGGAGGCAGCGAGCGUGUCCUUCGCCGGCAGGUGCGGGCAAUCUUGCGAGUCUCCGUCGUGCUGGGGAUAGAUGGUUGCAAUUGUCGAUCUUGAACGAGGAAUUCCUAGUAAGCGCGAGUCAUCAGCUCGCGCUGAUUACGUCCCUGCCCUUUGUACACACCGCCCGUCGCUACUACAGAGUGCCCGCGUCCAAGAAACGGUCGGACCUGUGCGGCCUCUCCGGGCGACCGGAGGGCCGUUACGGGGAAGACCCUUUAUUUGACGCGGGUCGAUGAAGUAAAAGUCGUAACA
rnacentral:rRNA from 1 species